CCCAGCUGUUGAUGGUGUACCUUGGUAGCCCUGUCAGCCAUGCUCGGGCGGCGGUGGUCAGCAUGACCAGCAGGUAGUUCGCCAUGACCACCUGGU
rnacentral:snoRNA from 1 species